CAUAUCAAUAAGCGGAGGAAAAGAAACUAACAAGGAUUCCCCUAGUAACGGCGAGUGAAGAGGGAAGAGCCCAAGUUUGAAAGCUGGCGUCUUCGGCGUCCGCAUUGUAAACUCGAGAAGCGUUUUCCGCGCCGGACCAAGCUCAAGUCCCUUGGAAUAGGGCAUCAUAGAGGGUGAGAGUCCCGUACUUGGCUUGGAGUCCCCGGGGCUUUGUGAUACGCUCUCCAAGAGUCGAGUUGUUUGGGAAUGCAGCUCAAAAUGGGUGGUAAAUGCCAUCUAAGGCUAAAUAUCGAGGAGAGACCGAUAGCGAACAAGUACCGUGAGGGAAAGAUGAAAAGAACUUUGGAAAGAGAGUUAAACAGUACGUGAAAUUGCCGGAAGGGAAGGGUAGGGAGUCAGAUAUGCUGUGCGGAUUCAGCCUUGUCUUUGGACUUGGUGUAUUUUCGUAUUGGCAGGCCAGCAUCGGUUUGUGCCGCUGGAUAUAGGCUUGGGGAAUGUGGCUUUGUCUUCGGUCAAAGUGUUAUAGCCCCUUGCUGAGUACAGCGGCAUGGACCGAGGCACGCAGCGCACCCUCUGGGCGGGCCCUCGGGCACCUUUGCGCUUAGGAUGCUGGCUUAAUGGCUCUCUGCCACCCG
rnacentral:rRNA from 1 species